CGCGCAGGCGGAGUGUUAAGUAGGAAGUGAAAGGUCGGAGCUCAACUCCAACAUUGCUCCCUAUACUGGCUCUCUUGAGUCCCGGAGAGGAAAGCGGAACGACACGUGUAGCGGUGAAAUGCGUUGAUAUGUGUCGGAACACCAAUGGCGAAGGCAGCUUUCUGGACGGGUACUGACGCUCAGGCGCGAAAGCCGAGGUAGCGAACA
rnacentral:rRNA from 1 species